rnacentral:rRNA from 1 species
GAUGAACGCUAGCUACAGGCUUAACACAUGCAAGUCGAGGGGAACGACAUUGAAAGCUUGCUUUUGAUGGGCGUCGACCGGCGCACGGGUGAGUAACGCGUAUCCAACCUGCCCACCACUUGGGGAUAACCUUGCGAAAGUAAGACUAAUACCCAAUGACGUCUCUAGAAGGCAUCUGAAAGAGAUUAAAGAUUUAUCGGUGAUGGAUGGGGAUGCGUCUGAUUAGCUUGUUGGCGGGGUAACGGCCCACCAAGGCGACGAUCAGUAGGGGUUCUGAGAGGAAGGUCCCCCACAUUGGAACUGAGACACGGUCCAAACUCCUACGGGAGGCAGCAGUGAGGAAUAUUGGUCAAUGGACGAGAGUCUGAACCAGCCAAGUAGCGUGCAGGAUGACGGCCCUAUGGGUUGUAAACUGCUUUUAUAAGGGAAUAAAGUGAGCCUCGUGAGGCUUUUUGCAUGUACCUUAUGAAUAAGGACCGGCUAAUUCCGUGCCAGCAGCCGUCGG